UACGUAGGUGGCAAGCGUUGUCCGGAUUUAUUGGGUUUAAAGGGUGCGUAGGCGGCUAACUAAGUCAGACGUGAAAUCCCUCGGCUUAACCGGGGAACUGCGUCUGAUACUGGAUGGCUUGAGUUUGGGAGAGGGAUGCGGAAUUCCAGGUGUAGCGGUGAAAUGCGUAGAUAUCUGGAGGAAUACCGGUGGCGAAGGCGGCAUCCUGGACCGGCAUUGACGCUGAGGAGCGAAAGCCAGGGGAGCAAACGGG
rnacentral:rRNA from 1 species